AUUGCUUCUUGGCAUUUUGGUUAAACUCCAGUAUCGUUAUCUAUUCUUAAGAAUUUAAUACCUGAUACAUCCUCUAUCUGAGGACAAUAUAUUAAAUGGAUUUUUGGAACUUGGAGAUGGAAUAGGGGUUUGCUCCAUGCACUCCAUGCAUCAGCCUGUACUUCCUGGAAGUACUGUAUUGCACCACUU